AAUGGAACCAGUACCACGCCCACCACAACCAGUAGACCUACCAUAGCCACUACAACCACAUUUCUUCAAUGUAAAGCUAAAGGCCGACCAAAUAAUUUCACAUUUUCGCAAUGGCAGCAUUACGUUGGCGAUCAUCUGGUACGUGAAGUGGAAGGAUAUAGGACGGAUAAUGAAAGUACCUAUAACCUGAAUAUUUCAGCUGAUUUACAUACAGCUGGACGAUAUGUCUGUACAGCUGGUAAUGAUAUUGGAUUAAGAUCGAAAAGUUACGAGCUUCUUCCAGAUAGUCCAGAAUUAUACAGCAGCAACUCUAUGACCAAAACGAAUGCUACUGCAGGCGAUUAUGUCGAGUUAUCUCUAAUAUACAUAUGUUAUUCGUACUGUAAGGUGACCUGGCAUAAAGCUGAAGAAGUGUUACAAUUUACAAUUGAGUAUAGAAGCAUCAAUAAUAGUUACAACUCGUCUGUACAAAUAUCAUCCAAUAGAACAGUGCUAAAACUUACAUCUGUACGACAAUCCGACCAAGGGGUGUACAAAUGCACUAUAUGUAACAAUCAUAGCUGUGUGCAUUCACAUGUUCAACUGAUAGUGGCUGUUCCUCCCAAUCUUGAUAAAGUUGAACCUAAGUAUACUGAGUUAGAGGUUUUAGUUGGUAUCGGUAUUGGGAGUGGUAUUAUAAUAAUAUUAAUAAUUCUAAUAGUUAUAUUAGUUAUUAUACUACUUAGACGAUCGCACCCUAAAAAAGGUAAUAAAGUUUUACGACCAGAUAUCCCAUGCAGCUUUCUGAUCUGUAACAAAAACAGUGACGUGCAGAGAUUUAGGAAUGCUCGGGACCAGUAGUUC